CAUCCUUUUGUGUGUAAGUGUGCAUAAGUACAUGCUAACGAUAUUCAAGAAGUACAUACCUCAAAGAAAACGAUGACACGAGUUAUCGUCUCUAACGUUCGAGGACUACAAAAAACACUCGGAUUGUAGGCAACAGUUUACUUCCUGGGAUUGGUGACGUAGAUAAGACCAACAUUAUCAUAGUUCAGCCCUCUCUGCUUUGCUUGGGUACGCCCUCAAAGACGAGGGUGGGGAGCGCCGAGUCAGAAGACAGCUAAAAUGGCGGAGGUUGUGAGUUCCUGCUUUGACCCUGUUUGCAAGCUCUUGUUUCAUUGUUUAAGCGAUUAAAUCUCUCGAGUAGACGCUGUCUCUUUAGAUGCGAGGGCAAAAUAGCACUUUAUGGACUUCCACAGAGGACAUCAUGUUUAAUACGGUUCCGGAAAAAUCCAGUCAGAAGUUGUUCACGGAGUUUUCACAAUAACUGCUUCUCAUGAACCGAAGCUGGAUUUGCGCGAAGUCUCCUCUUGAAAGUUGGAUUACUGCACUUCUGGAUCACAGGCUAUUCGCAGCUGGACACAUCCUUCUACACUGUAUGUAAACAUGCAACAUCAUUACACACAGUACAAGGAGUCAGACUGGCAUAUGAGGAGCAAAGGAACCCAGGCAGUAGCAUCGUUUCACAAUGUUUCCAUCACCAUCAUCAGUGGAUGCCUUUGCUGUCCGUAGCCUGAGAUUUCAGAUUUGCAGCAAAAAAAAAUUUAUUUUCUCAUUUAUUGGAAUGCUGUGCAGGUAUUUGUACCUUGCAGCCAUCCAUUACAAUGUCACCAAGCCGUAACAAAAGCAGGAGAGGGAAAGUACAAGGCUAUGUUCCCAAAACACACAAGUGACAUACCUUAUGUGGAUGAUGUGAUCAGGCUUGUGUUUGAUGAGGUAUUUGAAGAUAAGCUGAAGGAAGCCCUGAUUCCAAUGGACCUGGCAUCACAGUUUGAGAGACCUUCAAAGGAGGACGUGAUUGCAUGCCAUCUUCAGUGCAG